rnacentral:rRNA from 1 species
AGCAAUGCCGCGUGGGUGAAGAAGGCCUGCGGGUUGUAAAGCACUUUUAUCAGGAAAGAAACGGCCUGGGUUAAUACCCCAUGGCUCUUGCCGGUACCUGAUGAAUGAGCCCCGGCUAACUCCGUGCCCUGAGCCGCCGCAAUACAGAUGGUGCUUUCGUUAAUCGGAUUUACUGGGCGUUACCUCUGCCUAACCCGCUACGCAAGUCGGAUGUUGCAGCCCCGGGCUUAACCCGGGAAUUUUCUUCGAUACUGCGUGGCUAGAGUCUGGUAGAUUUAAGCGAAUUCCUCGUGUUAAGGCUAAAUGCCUACAUAUUAGGACGACCACCAGUGUCGAAUGAGGCUUAGUUUAUUCAAACUGAACCUGAGGUUGGAAAGCGUGGGUAGCCCACGCCAUUUCAUACCUGGGUAGUCCGCUCUCCAAACCAUGUCCAUUCGUCGUUGGGAGCCUUUUUAUCUCUCAGUCACGAACCCAUUGCGCUAUGUUGACCGCCUGGUGAUUACG